AAACAGAGGGCUGUUUGCAGCGGCCUCGCAGGAAGGUGGCCUGCCCUGACUUAGGGCUGAGCAGCUCAUCUGAAUCUCCUGGGCUUUCCCUUAUAAGAGCCUUGGGGCCCAGUACUCUGGAAGGGGUCUGGGAAAGGAUGCCCCCCUUUCUUCAGACCUUCAACUCAAACGCACCAUGGAGAUGGAUGUCUCAAGUGCACAGGGCACUUCGCCAACAGCAGCAUAAUUAAUACUCGGACUCCAAAUGCCCGCUCCUCUGAGGUCCCCACCCAUCAUCAGCCAGGUCUCCCAGCACUGCCUCAGGACCAGACAGGGGCAACCCUCCUGCCCUGGCAUCAUUCAGCACCUUCCAGAAAGGAAAAGGACCCUAACCAGAUGGGAACUCUGGGUGAAAGGGGAGGACACGCUCCCCCACCCCCGCCAGGGUCAUUCUGUUGCGUGUGGCUUGAGCUGUCCUCUGCUCUUUGACUUGGACCUCUGAAGAUGCUCCCUCCUUGGAGAGAAAACCUUUCUUGUGUUUUGACAUCAUCUAAUUCUCCCUACAACGGCCAGAGGUAGAUCAUUGCUGUCCCCAUUUUACAGCCUGGAAAACUAAGGCUGAGAAGGCUGAGCAACUUGCUCAAGGUCACUGAGAGCCAGCCAUGGGGCGGGGCCUGUACCCCACUGCCUCCAGAACCCUGUAAUUGUCAUCUUUCACUGGUGUUAUGUGGGAGGAAAAAGCCCCUGAAGGGACUGGUCAAGAGUUUGACGUCUAAGCUAUUUACAGGUUAAAAAAGAACAAGGACAGUUUGCGUUGAUGUAGCCCUGGAAAAUGAUAUCUCCCUUCGCGGUUGAGAACCCACGGCGGCAAAGCACCCGAUGGCUUGAUCCAGCUCUGGGACUUGGGGGCUUUGGGCUCUCAUUGGCUUGCUGGGUCCACGGGUGACGGCUGAGACACACAUGCGGCUCUGCCUAUCACUCAUCCAGGGUGUCCUCGGUCGAGCCUGCCUGGUGGUUGCUGACGUCACAGGGAGGUGGGUCGGUGGGUGGAGCCGCAGGACGGAGGGACGAGGUUAUGAUUAUGUUGGCGGGAAUCCAAACCAAGGGUGGCCUUGGCCGUGCACCCUGGGAGGGGACCGGACGUCCCUAAUGGAGCUAUCAUGAAACUGGCACUCGAAAUUUGAUCCUUCCCAGAAACUCCUUCUACAAAGCUGUCCUAAUAAUAAUAAUAGACAUUUUCUGGCCACAGAAUAAAUACCUUAGUGGAUAAAGUGUGUAAAACAUGAAAUACAAGCGAAAAGAUUAAA
ensembl:lncRNA